AAUCAACGCUGGCGGCGUGCCUCAGACAUGCAAGUCGAACGCGAAAGUCCCCUUCGGGGGACAAGUAGAGUGGCGCACGGGUGAGUAACACGUAGGUAAUCUACCUUCGGAUGGGGAAUAACAACCGGAAACGGUUGCUAAUACCGCAUAAUGCAGCGGCACCUAAUGGUGACAGUUGUUAAAGCGGGGGAUCGAAAGACCCCGCGUCUGAAGAGGAGCCUGCGGCGGAUUAGCUAGUUGGAAGGUAAUGGCUUACCAAGGCGACGAUCCGUAGCCGGCCUGAGAGGGCGGUCGGCCACACUGACACCGACAUACGGGUCAGACUCCUACGGGAGGCAGCAGUCGGGAAUUUUGGGCAAUGGGCGAAAGCCUGACCCAGCAAACGCCG
rnacentral:rRNA from 1 species